rnacentral:sRNA from 1 species
GGAAAACAGCAGAGCUGACAGUCAGAACAGCCGUGCUUCAAGCGUUCCUGGAGCCCAAGCUCUCCUCCACAGGUGAAGACAGGGCCAGCAGCAGACACCAUGGGGCACCUCUCAGCCCCACUUCACAGAGUGCGUGUCCCCUGGCAGGGGCUUCUGCUCACAGCCUCACUUCUAACCUUCUGGAACCCACCCACCACUGCCCAGCUCACUACUGAAUCCACGCCAUUCAAUGUCGCAGAGGGGAAGGAGGUUCUUCUACUCGUCCACAAUCUGCCCCAGAAUCCUCUUGGCUACAACUGGUACAAAGGGGAAAUGGUGGACGCCAACCAUCGAAUUAUAGGAUAUGUAAUAUCAGAUCAACUAACUACCCCAGGGCCUGCAUACAGCAGUCGAGAGAAAAUAUACCCCAAUGCAUCCCUGCUGAUCCAGAACGUCACCCAGAAUGACACAGGAUUCUACACCCUACAAGUCAUAAAGUCAGAUCUUGUGAAUGAAGAAGCAACUGGACAGUUCCAUGUAUACCCGGAGACUCCCAAGCCCUUCAUCUCCAGCAACAACUCCAACCCCGUGGAGGACAACGAUGCUGUGGCCUUAACCUGUGAACCUGGGACUCAGGACACAACCUACCUGUGGUGGAUAAACAAUCAGAGCCUCCUGAUCAGUCCCAGGCUGCAGCUGUCCAAUGGCAACAGGACCCUCACUCUACUCAGUGUCACAAGGAAUGACGCAGGACCCUAUGAGUGUGAAAUACAGAACCCAGUGAGUGCGAACCGCAGUGACCCAGUCACCUUGAAUGUCACCUAUGGCCCGGACACCCCCACCAUUUCCCCUUCAGACACCUAUUACCGUCCAGGGGCAAACCUCAGCCUCUCCUGCUAUGCAGCCUCUAACCCACCUGCACAGUACUCCUGGCUUAUCAAUGGAACAUUCCAGCAAAGCACACAAGAGCUCUUUAUCCCCAACAUCACUGUGAAUAAUAGUGGAUCCUAUACCUGCCACGCCAAUAACUCAGUCACUGGCCGCAACAGGACCACAGUCAAAACGAUCAUAGUCACUGAGCUAAGUCCAGUAGUAAAGCCCCAAAUCAAAGCCAGCAAGACCACAGUCACCGAAGAUAAGGACUCUGUGAACCUGACCUGCUCCACAAAUGACACUGGAAUCUCCAUCAGUUGGUUCUUCGAAAACCAGAGUCUCCCGUCCUCGGAGAGGAUGAAGCUGUCCCAGGGCAACACCACCCUCAGCAUAAACCCUGUCAAGAGGGAGGAUGCGGGGAAGUAUUGGUGUGAGGUCUUCAACUCAAUCAGUAAGAACCAAAGCGACCCCAUCAUGCUGACCGUAAAGUGUAAGUGACUCCUCACCCCUUCCUAUGUCCCUGGAGGAUCACUCUGUCAAUGGUGUGCAAAAUGGAUAAAACUCACAGGAGGCAGAAUAUCAAUGAAGAGACCAUUAUAGCAAACAGAAUUGUAAAGUGGUUAAGAGCUCAGCUCAGGCCGGGCGCAGUGGCUCACACCUGUAAUUCCAGCAAUUUGGGAGGCCGAGGCGGGCGGAUCACGAGGUCAGGAGAUCGAGCCCAUCCUGGCUAAUAUGGUGAAACCCCAUCUCUACUAAAAAUACAAAAAAAAAUUAGCUGGGCGUGGUGGCAGGUGCCUGUAGUCCCAGCUACUCCGGAGGCUGAGGCGGGAGAAUGGCGUGAACCCGGGAGGCGGAGCUUUCAGUGAGCCAAGACCGCACCACUGCACUCCAGUCUGGGCAAGAGCAAGACUCUGUCUC